GGACUACCCGGGUUUCUAAUCCUGUUUGAUCCCCUUGCUUUCGCGCUUCAGCGUCAGGAAUAAGCUAGAAAACCGCCUUCGCCACCGGUGUUCUUCCACAUAUCUACGCAUUUCACCGCUACUUGUGGAAUUCCGUUUUCUCCGCCUACCCUCUAGAUAAUGCAGUUUCAAAUGCAGUCCUUAGGUUGAGCCCAAGAAUUUCACAUCUGACUUACAUAUCCGCCUACGCGCCCUUUACGCCCAAUAAAUCCGAUUAAUGCUUGCACCCUCCGUAUUACCGCGGCUGCUGGCAC
rnacentral:rRNA from 1 species